rnacentral:rRNA from 1 species
CCUACGGGAGGCAGCAGUCGAGAAUCAUUCACAAUGGGGGAAACCCUGAUGGUGCGACGCCGCGUGGGGGAAUGAAGGUCUUCGGAUUGUAAACCCCUGUCAUGUGGGAGCAAAUUAAAAAGAUAGUACCACAAGAGGAAGAGACGGCUAACUCUGUGCCAGCAGCCGCGGUAAUACAGAGGUCUCAAGCGUUGUUCGGAAUCACUGGGCGUAAAGCGUGGGUAGGCUGUUUCGUAAGUCGAGUGUGAAAGGCGCGGGCCGAACCCGCGGACGGCACAUGAUACUGGGAGGCUAGAGGAAUGGAGGGGGAACCGGAAUUCUCGGGGUAGCAGUGAAAUGCGUAGAUAUCGAG